UUAGAAGACAAAACAUAUCCACCGAAGAACAACUUGGUUCUGUUUCGGUACAUCUCUAUGGGGAAAAAGGCGCAAAAUGUUCUUGCUCUAAUUUUGAUCCCUUUCUUUGUCUACAUAAGCCAAGCUGAAGGAGCAAUGGAACCUGCAAGUAACAUUACUGAAGUCGUGGAUGUGGAGUCCAUCAAGACAUUGUUCCAGUUGGCUUACAUGCCAGAAGCAGCUCGAGUAUAUCAUACUUGCGGACAAUGCAGCUGUUGCCAAGGAAAAAUCUGUACUGUAAUGGCAUGCUGCUGGGAGUAUAGAUGCGAUGGCAAUGCACAAGUGUCUUGUGUAGUUGAGGCUAAGACAUGCGGCUGUGCAAACUGCAGCUAGUCAUAUCGUUUCUAUGCUCACAAAUGGAUGACAAUAAAAUUUUCGUUUAGAGAUCA